UGGGGAAUAUUGCGCAAUGGGCGAAAGCCUGACGCAGCCAUGCCGCGUGUGUGAAGAAGGCCUUCGGGUUGUAAAGCACUUUCAAUUGGGAGGAAAGGCUCACGACUAAUACUCGUAAGCUGUGACGUUACCUUUAGAAGAAGCACCGGCUAACUCCGUGCCAGCAGCCGCGGUAAUACGGAGGGUGCGAGCGUUAAUCGGAAUUACUGGGCGUAAAGCGCGCGUAGGUGGUCUGUUAAGUCGGAUGUGAAAGCCCCGGGCUCAACCUGGGAACUGCAUCCGAUACUGGCAGACUAGAGUGCGGGAGAGGGAGGUAGAAUUCCACGUGUAGCGGUGAAAUGCGUAGAUAUGUGGAGGAAUACCAGUGGCGAAGGCGGCCUCCUGGCUCGACACUGACACUGAGGUGCGAAAGCGUGAGUAGCAAACAGGAUUAGAUACCCUGGUAGUCCACGCCGUAAACGAUGUCUACUAGCUGUAGGGGUACUUGAGACCUUUGUAGCGCAGCUAACGCACUAAGUAGACCGCCUGGGGAGUACGGCCGCAAGGUUA
rnacentral:rRNA from 1 species